rnacentral:lncRNA from 10 species
UACUCGCCAUCUAAAACCAAAAAUCAGGACAUAUUUAUAUCUUAUUGCUAUGUCCAAAGGUUGAUUUUUCUUCACUUGCCUCUCUUGAAGGUAGUUGUGGCAAUAAAGUGUAGUCUCCAUGAAAGGGAUGUGAGCAGAAGUCAUGUGUGCCACUUCUGGUUCAUCAACUCAAAGGCAAAGGUACUUUUUGAGGACUUCCAGCACCCUCUUCCAACAGACUGGAAGAUGGAUGUGGAUAUGAAACGACUUCAACCACACAGACCAGGACAUCAGUCUAGGGGCUGGCAGAGGUGAGCAUCUUCUGUUUGGCAUUUCCACAUGUAAUAAGUUAAGAACUGAUUUGAGAAGAUAUCCAAAAAAUGCAAUUGUAUAAAUCCAAAUAAAAAAUUUAAAUAAUCAUCCCAA